UGGGGGAUAUUGCACAAUGGGCGAAAGCCUGCUGCAGCAACGCCGCGUGGGGGAUGAAGGCCUUCGGGUUGUAAACUUCUUUUGCUCUGAACAAGGCAUGCCUUUGGGGUGUGUUGAGUGUAGGGGUUGAUUAGCGCCGGCUAACUACGUGCCAGCAGCCGCGGUAAUACGUAGGGCGCGAGCGCUGUCCGGAAUUAUUGGGCGUAAAGGGCUUGUAGGUGGCUGGUUGCGUCUGUCGUGAAAGCUCAUGGCUUAACUGUGGGUGUGCGGUGGGUAGGGGCUGGCUUGAGUGCAGUAGGGGAGGGUGGAAUUCCUGGUGUAGCGGUGGAAUGCGAAGAUAUCAGGAGGAAUACCGGUGGCGAAGGCGGGUCUCUGGGCUGUUACUGUCGCUGAGGAGAGAAAGGGUGGGGAGCGAACAGG
rnacentral:rRNA from 1 species